UGGCGGCUGUAGCGCGGUGGUCCCACCUGACCCCAUGCCGAACUCAGAAGUGAAACGCCGUAGCGCCGAUGGUAGUGUGGGGUCUCCCCAUGUGAGAGUAGGGAACUGCCA
rnacentral:rRNA from 6 species